AAAUCCGGACUGACCAGUCCUUU
rnacentral:snRNA from 1 species